rnacentral:rRNA from 1 species
GACGAAGGUGGCGAGCGUUGUUUGGAAUCACUGGGCAUAAAGCGCACGUAGGCGGUGAUGUAAGUCGGGUGUGAAAUCCCUCGGCCUAACCGAGGAACAGCGCCCGAUACUGCGUUGCUUGAGGACCAGAGGGGUGCAUGGAAUUUCCGGUGGAGCGGUGAAAUGCGUUGAUAUCGGAAGGAACUCCGGCGGCGAAAGCGAUGCACUGGCUGGUUUCUGACGCUGAGGUGCGAAAGCCAGGGGAGCAAACGGG